rnacentral:lncRNA from 1 species
UCUCAUCCAAUCAGAAUGCGUCGCCUAACUAUCUUUUAUAUUCAAAUGUUUUAAUUUCUUUUUUUCAUUUCAUUUUAUUUCCUUUUCUUCCAAACUUAAUUUUAAAUAGCUCAUUUAUUAAUUUUUAUACCAAAUUUUUUCCAUAUUUGCAUAAAAAUAUUUUUUAUCACAUACCAUUUUUUGCAUUUUUUUAAAGUCAUGUUUACAUUUAUU